ACUCAACCCCUUGACACUUAGGUAAUAAUGUGCAAAUGAGGGAACUUGGAUCUUGCUGCCAAGGGGUUAAAAUCAGGAACCUCAAUUGCUACUAAAUCAUAGUUUAAAAACAGAUCUAAUAAUGUUGUCAUUGUUGCUAUAUGAUUCCAUAGCAGCAUUCACUAAAUUGGAAACAAAGGUUGCAACAGGACAAAAAAUUGCGUAGUAUUUACCAGCACCAUUCAGUAAUACAGUCUUAACCAUACCUCCUUGAGCUACUUCAUACUUGUCAAGAAAAGCAGUUUGCAGCAAGGGCACGUGGUGUGCACCUAAUAUUAAAAUUGCUUUGUCUUAAAAUUGAGCAUGAGGAUAUUAAAAAUCCAUUGUGAAGAAGACUGCUUAUCUCAGAGUGAAGAUACUUAAAAAUUAAAUGAACAAAACCCUCCAACUUUGAAGCUGAAGAAGGCUGCAGUGGAACAACUUUAAGAGGGUUGUGGCAUUUCCUUUCCUUUAUAAAACAUGCUCAGCAAACUGCACCAGUUAACUACAGUUUGUGCUGGUAUUGAUCCCUGGUCGAUCGGUGUUCCCAGAAAAUGAAAAAGAAGAUCCAAGUUCAGCAGCCAAUCACAAUCAAAGUAUAUAAUCAGUUCAUAGGAGGCAUAGACAGAUGUAAUGAAAACACAGAUAAGUAUUGGGCAUCAAUCCAUGGAAAGAAAUGGUAGUCCACCCCUCUCUUGUUCUGUUUUGAAUUGGCCUCCCAAAAUGCUUCGCAAUUGCAUGAACUACGAUGAAAGGCCAAUAGAUUUUCUGGAGUUUCAUUGAUGUGUGGUUUGCUAUGAUCUGGAGACCCAAGGUCAUCACACAGAACAUGGCUGAAGAUGAAGACCUGUACAGAAGUGUAACAUUGACUCCUGUCAUGAUGUUAUAAAUUGUGUACUAGUGAAACAGGGGAAGCAAACACAGUGUGCACAGUGUCAUAAGAAUGGCAUUUUUAGAUGUAAAAAUGUGAAGUGUUCUGUUGAAUGCCACACCGAAUAGCAAGUGUCACCACCACCUCUUGAGACAAGAAAUGUGGUUUAUGCAUUAUGU
ensembl:lncRNA